GGCUUCAUAGCUCAGUUGGUAGAGCAUGGCACCAGUAUGGCGGAGGUCACGGGUUCAAAUCCCGUUGAAGCCC